UAAAUAAAUAAAUAAAGUCUACAAAGCCAAGGUGACAACAUGGAAAAAUACCUAGGUAGAAAAAGGCCACCUAGGCCGGGCACGGGCUCACGCCUGUAAUCCCAGCACUUUGGGAGGCCAAGGCAGGCGGAUGACCUGAGGUCAGGAGUUUGAGACCAGCCUGACCAACACGGUGAGACCCCAUCUUUACUAAAAAUGCAAAAAUUGGCCAGUUGUGGGCAUCUGUAAUCCCAGCUACUGGGGAGGCUGAGGCAGGAGAAUCGCUUGAACCCAGGAGGCGGAGGUUGCAGUGAGCCGAGAUUGCUCCACUGUACUCCAGCCUAGGCCACAGAGCAAGACUCUGUCUCAAAAAAAAAAAAAGCCACCUGAAUAUGUGCAGUUGGGGGCAAGCAUGUUGCAUGUUCAGAGCUAGAAUGAAGCCCAUGGAAGCCGUGUUAGGGUGGUGGAGCAGGUGAGAUUUCUUUCUUUUGUGGCUCUCACUGUUUUCCUGGGAUGAGCAUGUGGUGUUCAGUUUAAGAAACGAUGUGGGUCUGAGGCCGGGCGCAGUGCAUCACGCCUGUAAUCCCAGCGCUUUGAGAGGCUGAGGUGGGAGGAUCCCUUGAAGCCAGGAGUUUGAAACCAUCCUGGGCAACAUGGUGAGACCCUGUCUCUACAAAAAUAAAAAAUAAAUUAGCCAGGCCUGGUGGUGUGCACCUGUAGUCCUAGCUACUCGGGAGGCUGAGGUGGGUGGAUCCCUUGAACCCAGGAGGCGGAGGUUGCAGUGAGCUGUGAUUGUUCCCCUGUACUCCAGCCUGGGCCACAGAGCGAGACUCCAUCUCUAAAAAAUAACAAACCAGAAAAUGUGAGCCUCACCUUUUUUCAGGGAUACAACUCCUCGCCAUCACAGUCCAUCACAACCUGGGUGGCGUUAGCUGGAUGUGGCCCCGCCCCGAUUUCCAUGAGACUCCUCCUGAACAAUGUUUCCGAGAGAGUUGAGCUCCUGAGCCUGGUGCUGACGAAUUGUGUUGGAGACAGCCCUCAGCGCUGAGUGCGUGUAACGAGUGUCCUCUCUCCACAGGUGUGGUCUGCCUGCAGCCUUUCUGCCACCUGUACUGGGGCUGCACCCGGACCGGCUGCUACGGCUGCCUGGCCCCGUUCUGUGAAUCUGUAAUGAAAAGAAAUAUGUUUAUCCUCAGUGUCGGGCAGACAGUGCUUUCCUGCGACAUCAUUAUAAACAGGUAACAUUGCCCCUUCAUCUCGGCAGA
rnacentral:sRNA from 1 species